rnacentral:rRNA from 1 species
GGCUUAGAGUUUGAUCAUGGCUCAGGAUAAACGCUGGCGGCGCACAUAAGACAUGCAAGUCGAACGAACUUAACCUAUAGUUUACUAUUGGAGCGGUUAGUGGCGGACUGGUGAGUAACGCGUAAGCAAUCUGCCUAUCAGAGGGGAAUAACAGUGAGAAAUCACUGCUAAUACCGCAUAAGCUGUGAGUAUCGCAUGAUACAAGCAGAAAAGGAGCAAUCCGCUGAUAGAUGAGCUUGCGUCUGAUUAGUUAGUUGGCGAGGUAACGGCCCACCAAGACGAUGAUCAGUAGCCGGACUGAGAGGUUGAACGGCCACAUUGGGACUGAGAUACGGCCCAGACUCCUACGGGAGGCAGCAGUCGGGAAUAUUGCGCAAUGGAGGAAACUCUGACGCAGUGACGCCGCGUGCAGGAAGAAGGUUUUCGGAUUGUAAACUGCUUUAGACAGGGAAGAAGAAGUGACAGUACCUGUAGAAUAAGCUCCGGCUAACUACGUGCCAGCAGCCGCGGUAAUACGUAGGGAGCGAGCGUUAUCCGGAUUUAUUGGGUGUAAAGGGUGCGUAGAUGGAUAUGCAAGUUGGUUGUGAAAUACCUCGGCUUAACUGAGGAACUGCAACCAAAACUGUAAAUCUUGAGUACUGGAGGGGAAAGCGGAAUUCCUAGUGUAGCGGUGAAAUGCGUAGAUAUUAGGAAGAACACCGGUGGCGAAAGCGGCUUUCUGGACAGAAACUGACAUUGAGGCACGAAAGUGUGGGGAGCAAACAGGAUUAGAUACCUGGUAGUCCACACCGUAAACGAUGGAUACUAGUGUAGGUGAUGAUAAGUCAUCUGUGCCGUCGCAAACGCAGUAAGUAUCCCACCUG